AUCAACAGCAGACUUGCUUACGGUUAUAAGCCUUUGAGAAUUCUAGGUCUAGAUUUCUCAAUAACUUAUUAUCUAAAUACAAGCUAGUUCUAUAAAGCCAAAGUCUUACACACACUCCAUCUUCACUUAUACUUAUAAACUAUCUAACCAUGGAGACCCUCUACUUGCUACCUUGUGAAGCUCUUAGACUAGCCGUAUAUAACUCCUCAUAUAUCUUGGACUGGAGCACAUCCCUUUUUGGCUGGCAGCUGCUUGGGCCGAGCAUUAAUCAAGUUACUUUCGAGCUGGCGAGCUAAGAUAAACACUUCAGCUCAUUAUAAUUCAUACGGAUUUACUAGUGUUUGGCGGCGUGCUUCAGCUUCGGGCGCUUCAAAGCGAAUUCCGUAAGUUAAGUUAAUUUCUGGAAUUACGAGCUCUUUUCAAUCGCAAACAGCCGCAACUUAAUCAAAGUGGGCGACGUUGGCGUUUUCCAGGGACCCCAGUGCCGACAUCAAAGGAUUAAUGAAAUGUAAUAUAUGCUUUAAUUUAGCUUAAGGACACACUAAGCCAAAGAGCCGCGCAGAGGGAUAGAUUUCAAAGAGCCCGGCGAAUCGAUACACGGCGAACUCGUCAAAAUUUGACAAACGCAAUGCGCUUAGCUGCAGGCGCCACCUCCCAGCUCCUAUCCCCAACCAGCCAAACCGCUAAACCACAAGCCACCAACUUCGUUGGCUCCUCCCCUCCCCACUCCGCAGCGCCUUUCUGAAAACCGCGAACACAGCACGCGCACAAACAGCACAGAGGGAAGCCAGCAGCUCCCCAGCUCCCCAGCUCCCCAUUUCCCCAGUCUAUCAUGGGGAGAGGCGACACGACUCGACGCGACUCGACGCGACUCCACUUUAAGAUGAAGCCAACACACUGGGCCACUGAAUAAUAAAUCUGUUUAAUUUUUGA
rnacentral:sRNA from 1 species